rnacentral:tRNA from 1 species
GGAAAGAUAGCGAAGAGGCUAAACGCGGCGGACUGUAAAUCCGCUCCUUCGGGUUCGGGGGUUCGAAUCCCUCUCUUUCCAUCCUAAACGGGCAUAGUUUAAAGGUAGAACUAAGGU